rnacentral:lncRNA from 1 species
UUUUGGAUAUAGACCCAAUCCUAAAAGCUUUGUCUCUAGAGCUAUUUGUAGAUACUGUAUUGAAUGUCCUAAAUCUAUUUACCCCUGCAAACCCAAAUGCAUAAAAAACCCUCAUCAACUACCUUAAAUCCCCUACAGCACCAAACAAAUGUUAAACACAGAGACUGAAAAAUCGGGCGGUAGAAACUCUAAACCACAUUUUCUACAGAGCAGUGGGGUUAAUAUAGAGCCCCCACAUCCCCAGGCUAGGGGAGGGGCCACGUCCUCACUAUAAUACGUGAUGCUGCAGACCACCAGACCCAAAAACAGACUGACAUAAAGUACAGAACUAGUGUCAGUCCUCAGAUCCUCUCAUCAUUUCACUCCUCGCCUGCGUGGUGGACCUUCAGAUAUUCUGGUCCAGUGUUUUGAGUGUGGGGCAGUUUUUAGAAUGAAGAUCUUCUUGGUGUGGUUUUGCCUUGUCCAGGCUGUGCUUAUGAUGCCAUCAGCACAGGAGAUCACCAACCUCAACUCAGAUAUGUGGAAUCAGGGAAAACCACGGACAUUGUUUGCCAGAAGAGGUGCCAUGGAGUAUCACAGACUACGAACAUCAGUAAGCUAUUUUAUAUAAGAAUAACAUUGAUCUGAUUCAUUGUAUGAUGUCAAUUAAAAAACUUUUCGUACCAUAUCAUAUACUGACAUGCCAAAAUACUGGUAUAACAGUAUGUAAAUUGAUCUUGAAGUGUUACCCUACAGGACAGCUUGAGAACACCCACUCCUGUAUUAAUUCCUGUAUUAAGUUGUGAGGUGUUAUCUUGUGAGUGAGGUUAAACACUGACCAGUGUGCUCAUUGCAAGGCAGUAUGAAUUUAAUGAGUAUGAGUGAGGUCUGAUAGUGGGUGACCAGUUGUUUGGUCAUUACCAUUCACAGUGGGCAGUGUAGUGGGUGGUAAUGUACGUGACUGGUGGCAUCUUGCUACAAAUACACAUUAUAUCCAUAUUUAAUGCAGGAGUCCCCUCAUGCAUAUCCCACACAUUAGUGCAGCAUUCUUAAGCUUACAUAGGACAUGCAAUAAUUUAUGGGACAUGAUACUAGUUCUUGUCCCACAAAAUAUGUCAUGUCAGUGUAAAACUAUAAAACUGUCUAAAACCUUUCCCAAAGCCGGCAGAGAAAGAUAGCAGUCACAUAUAUGGUUGAGAGCAGGAUUUAAGGGAAAAUAAACAACAUUCUAUAAGUGUGAACUACGAGUCG